rnacentral:tRNA from 1 species
GGGAAGGUGGCUCAGUGGUAGAGUGCUUGCCUUGCAUGCAUGAGUCCUGGGUUUGAUUCCUGUUUCCUG